AUGUAGUGCUCAAAGUCUGAUGAGAUCACCCAACCGUGGGCCCCUUCAGAAACUUCGCCCUGUCUUGCCCGGACAUCCAGAGAGACUCUGCGUGGGGAGAAGGUGGACAGGACACGGGAGAGGGACAGUUAAUUGAGCAGCACCAGAAACCUCCAGAAGAACCACCUGAGGAACCAGAGAGACUCUCUGUGCCCCCACAGCCCACAUCCCACCCCGGCCACUCUCAUCUGCAUCUCCUCAGACUGGAGGAGCUCAGGUGAGCUCACCUGGAGCCAGAGGCACCUUUACCAUCACUGCAGCAAAGGGACCCUGAACCACCUCCCCAGCAAGCAAACCCUGAAGUGUUCUGGCAAGAACCACCUGGAAACAAAGGUUUGUUUCUCACAAACCUGGAGUAGCCUGACCCUAAAAGGAAGAAGGGAAAAUGCCUGCAAUCCUCCAGAUCCAGAUACUGCCUCACUAAGAAAAGUUAACACUUUUUGGAGACCUGUGUCCCAUGACAGAAUUCCUGAUGCUGGAGGCUGUCAGGAGCUGUCCAAGGCUGUGUGAACUGUGGGAGCUGCAGAGCACUGACACGAAUUCCUUGCAGGCUGGAAGGAACUGGAGCUUUUCCCCUGGCCCCUAACAUCCCAAGGCAAGAACAGGAAUUGGGGCAGAUGUUUGGAAGCUUGCUGCUGCAGAGCUGCCAGGGGACUGUGCUGCCCAUGGAGGGGAGGAACACUGACUGUGACCUGAAGCCAGCAGAGGAGCAAAGCCUGAGCUGCUGCCUGCUCCCAGCAGAGGCAUGGGCUGAGCUGACCAGGAAUCCCCUGACUCGGGAUCCAUCAGACUGACUCGGCAGUGACUGAGGGCUGCCAGGGCCAUCUGCUCCCCUUCCAAGAAUUGCCAGCACUCAGGAAGUCCUGGCAGCAAAGGACUCCUUCAUUUCAGGUCCCACUUCCCAACCAAGUGCACAGGAAGCCAUCCUGCAGCAGGCAACUUCACAGCUCUGAGGCUGUGCCUAAGCAGCUCCAGCUCCAAGGCUUCCUCUAUGCAAAAUUCACAAUCCCAUGUGUCCCCAGGAAGGCCUGUGACAGAUCAAGGUCAGGAGAGGUGUGGAAAAGAUCAGAUGUGCUUGUAUGUCACGGCCAACCACCUUUUAUCUUCAGCCCCAGCCAUCCUCCAUCCUCUGGACUACAGAAGCUCCUUCCUGUGCUGAUGGAGAUCAAGGGCCAGCAGCCAGGAGCUCUGGCAGUGAUGGAACAGGGCAGGCUAAUGUCCUGCUUGCUUCACUUUGAAUUUGCUGUGGUUUUUCUUACAGAGAGGACUCUGAGCCUGUGAAUUUUGACCAGCAGGUGAAGCCUGAGGGACAGGCUUGGGGGAGCCUCAGGCUCACUCUGCCCAGUGCCACAGGGGCUUGGGGAGCACUGAAAAGCAGUGAGGGAAUGGGAGACAGGACACGGGGUGAUAUAAAAAAUGUGGGUUCAUAAAGCAGCCCCAGCAGGAUUUUUCAAUGCCAAUAUUGGUGCUGGUGGAGUUGGGAGCUGCUGUGCAGGGCUGGCACAGCAGGAGCUGGACCUCUCCAGGCAGUGAGGCUUUAUCUCAGCCCAUCCUUCAGCAGAGCCUUUAUCCCCAUUUAGCAGGGUGUGAGAUGCUCCUCCACCUUCAGCCAAGUGCUCUGUGUCAAGGAGCCAAGAGCUGGAAGCCAAAGCAGCCUGGCAGCCAGGCUGAGGCAGGGCAGGAGGCAGGGACGUGUGCCUGGAGCCUUCUCCUGCAAACUCCACACACACCCUGCUCACACCUUCAUCUGUGUUCAACCAGGAAGGGCAGUGCUGGAAGAUGAACUCUCCCUCCAUGCACUCUUGAGGAGUUCCCAAGUCAGGAUUCCUGCUGGCAUUUGCUAACUAGGACCCCAAGGCUGCUGGGCCUGGGCAAAGCACGACAAGCUGGAUGCUGGAAUCCCCCCAGAUAAACUCAACUCAGCCAUGAUGGAAUCCCCCCCAAAUAAACUCAGCUCAGCCAUGAUGGAAUCCCCCCCCAAAUAAACUCAGCUCAGCCAUGAUGGAAUCCCCCCCAAUAAACUCAGCUCAGCCAUGAUGGAAUCCCCCCAAAUAAACUCAGCCAUGAUGGAAU